rnacentral:rRNA from 1 species
GACGAACGCUGGCGGCGUGCCUAAUACAUGCAAGUCGAACGAGAGCGACCGGUGCUUGCACUGGUCAAUCUAGUGGCGAACGGGUGAGUAACACGUGGGUAACCUGCCCAUCAGAGGGGGAUAACAUCCGGAAACGGAUGCUAAAACCGCAUAGGUCUUCGAGCCGCAUGGCUUGAAGAGGAAAAGAGGCGCAAGCUUCUGCUGAUGGAUGGACCCGCGGUGCAUUAGCUAGUUGGUGAGGUAACGGCUCACCAAGGCCGUGAUGCAUAGCCGACCUGAGAGGGUGAUCGGCCACAUUGGGACUGAGACACGGCCCAAACUCCUACGGGAGGCAGCAGUAGGGAAUCUUCCGCAAUGGACGCAAGUCUGACGGAGCAACGCCGCGUGAGUGAAGAAGGUUUUCGGAUCGUAAAACUCUGUCGUUAGAGAAGAACAAGUGCUAGAGUAACUGUUAGCGCCUUGACGGUAUCUAACCAGAAAGCCACGGCUAACUACGUG